GAUGAACGCUGGCGGCGUGCCUAAUACAUGCAAGUCGAGCGAACAGACGAGGAGCUUGCUCCUCUGACGUUAGCGGCGGACGGGUGAGUAACACGUGGAUAACCUACCUAUAAGACUGGGAUAACUUCGGGAAACCGGAACUAAUACCGGAUAAUAUAUUGAACCGCAUGGUUCAAUAGUGAAAGACGGUUUUGCUGUCACUUAUAGAUGGAUCCGCGCCGCAUUAGCUAGUUGGUAAGGUAACGGCUUACCAAGGCAACGAUGCGUAGCCGACCUGAGAGGGUGAUCGGCCACACUGGAACUGAGACACGGUCCAGACUCCUACGGGAGGCAGCAGUAGGGAAUCUUCCGCAAUGGGCGAAAGCCUGACGGAGCAACGCCGCGUGAGUGAUGAAGGUCUUCGGAUCGUAAAACUCUGUUAUUAGGGAAGAACAAAUGUGUAAGUAACUAUGCACGUCUUGACGGUACCUAAUGAGAAAGCAACGGCUAACUACGUG
rnacentral:rRNA from 1 species